AUUGAACGCUGGCGGCAUGCCUUACACAUGCAAGUCGAACGGUAACAGGUCUUCGGAUGCUGACGAGUGGCGAACGGGUGAGUAAUACAUCGGAACGUGCCCAGUAAUGGGGGAUAGCUCGGCGAAAGCCGGAUUAAUACCGCAUACGCCCUGAGGGGGAAAGUGGGGGAUCGCAAGACCUCACGUUAUUGGAGCGGCCGAUGGCUGAUUAGCUAGUUGGUAGGGUAAAGGCCUACCAAGGCGACGAUCAGUAGCUGGUCUGAGAGGACGAUCAGCCACACUGGGACUGAGACACGGCCCAGACUCCUACGGGAGGCAGCAGUGGGGAAUUUUGGACAAUGGGGGAAACCCUGAUCCAGCAAUGCCGCGUGUGCGAAGAAGGCCUUCGGGUUGUAAAGCACUUUUGUCAGGGAAGAAAUCCUUUGGGCUAAUACCCUAGGGGGAUGACGGUACCUGAAGAAUAAGCACCGGCUAACUACGUGCCAGCAGCCGCGGUAAUACGUAGGGUGCAAGCGUUAAUCGGAAUUACUGGGCGUAAAGCGUGCGCAGGCGGUUGUGUAAGACAGGUGUGAAAUCCCCGGGCUUAACCUGGGAAUUGCAUUUGUGACUGCACGACUAGAGUGUGUCAGAGGGGGGUGGAAUUCCACGUGUAGCAGUGAAAUGCGUAGAUAUGUGGAGGAACACCAAUGGCGAAGGCAGCCCCCUGGGAUAACACUGACGCUCAUGCACGAA
rnacentral:rRNA from 1 species